rnacentral:lncRNA from 1 species
GGCCGGUAACACUGAGAUGGAUAACAAUAUCCCAAUACCAUCUGCUCUCGCCAGUUUUAGCCCCAGGCAGCACCAUCUUCAAAUGAGCCUUUACGUCGUGUCACGUGACCUCCACGACAGCCUCCUCAUCUCUGAACCCCAUGCUGUACCCUCCAUGAUCAGCUGAGACCUGAGUGACAUCAUGUUGGCUCUGCUGAUUCUGUCUAUGUUUCAACAUGGCCUGUCUCUGAAGACGCCCCCUGAGGUACUGGGGUAGAGUUGGGGGGGAACCAGUUUGUCUACGCUGUGAUCAGGACAACACCACCAAGACUGUCCUGUUCUGGUACCAGAUGAGAAGAAGUUCCUUCCAGUUGGUACUGUUCUCCUUUGGCCAGGCGGUGGAUGUAGAGGCUGAACACGAGAGGAAUCUCUCUGACUCUGUUUGUGGACAAGACUCAGCUCUCUCACAACGCGGAGUACUACUGCGCCAUACAGGGUACACAGUGAGCAGUCUGGAUCUGCGUCCCUGACAACAACAAAAAAUGACCUCAAAGCUCAGGAGGAGUGGUGGGGGGGCUGAGAAGGAGGCGGGGUACGUGUGUGUGUGUGUGUGUGUGUGUGUGUGUGUGUGUGUGUGUGUGUGUGUGUGUGUGUGUGUGUGUGUGUGUGUGCGUGCGCGUGCGCGUGCGUGCAUGGUGAGUGUUGAGACAGAAUGAAUGGCUGUUGUAUCCUCUAGGGGGCUCUCAGAUACCAGAACUAAACUACAGCCCUCCUGAGAUGCUGACCUGUUGCACCCUCUACAACCACUGUGAUUAUUAUUAUUUGACCCUGCUGGUCAUCUAUGAACGUUUGAACAUCUUGGCCAUGUUCUGUUAUAAUCUCCAACCUGCAAAGCCAGAAGAGGACUGGCCACCCCUCAUAGCCUGGUUCCUCUCUAGGUUUCUUCCUAGGUUCCUGCCUUUCUGGAUAAUUUUUUCCUAGCCACUGUGCUUCUACAUCUGCAUUGCUUGCUGUUUGGGGUUUUGAUGUAAAAAAAAGGGCUUUAUAAAAACAUUUGAUUGAUUGACAACAUAUACAACUCUCCCAGUCAGACAACAUGGUUGCUGUGGGCCUUCUCCUGCUGCUGCCACUAGGUAACAAUGUAAUGUCUAUAGAGCUGUAUAUAAAUCUGUGGUAUUGUCUUUUUUACCUCACAGAGACAAUCACAGGUGCUAUUGUUUGUUGAGUACAGUAAAUUCAUUACAUUUGUUGGCAAUUUUGAGGUAAUUCAUAUAGUUUUUAUAUCUAGUUUUAUUUAUCGGACAGAAGUAGAGGGGGAAGACGGAAUGCUGAAAUAGCAGUGGGCACGAUGCAAGGGUACAGGUGUCGUAUCUUAACUCGAUAACCGUUUUCUCACAGAGAAUUGUCCUGCUGCAUCAGGUAAGCACAUACUCAGCAGCCGUCUGAUUCCCCUGCUGUAGCUGAAGCAGACGCUCACCUCCAUCUCUGACCUCCGCGGGAUGAUCAAAAAUACAUUUAAACAGAACCAUGAACCCCUCAUAAGAAUCUAGCUCCUCCUCUCCUCUCUCCCAGACGGCCGUAGCCCAUUCCAACGCCAUAACCGUGGCAACCUUAGACCUCUCGGUGGUGGGGGCUCCCAAUUGGUUGAAAAAUAGAGGACGCAGUGAAGGAGGAAGCCACAGCAUUUGGAUGGUGUCCAGUCAUAUAUUACUCCGGGAGGGAUAGACCGGCAUCGCUAACUUGAGCGGGUUGCUGAACGGGCUGGUGUUCUAACUCAUUGGGUAGACUGGCUCUAGAAUAUCCUCCGCUGUUAGGAAGUUGUAGACUGUGGAGAACAUCUUCCAUGGCCGUCCACAGUUGAGCCAGCUGAUCAUGGUGUUGAUGAAGAAAGUGGGAGAUGUCCAGUUGACCUGCUGCUUCCAUAUUUUGAGUUGGUAUUCUGUAAUGAUGAGGCGGUGAGUCGGAAGCACGUGAAACGUUUUAAUAAAAUAACAAAACCAAGAACACGACAAUAACAUAAGGAAAUAUGCCAAUACACAAGAACAAUACC